rnacentral:rRNA from 1 species
AGUGAACGCUGGCGGUAGGCCUAAUACAUGCAAGUCGAACGGCAGCACAGUAAGAGCUCUUUCUUACGGGUGGCGAGUGGCGGACGGGUGAGGCAUACAUCGGAAUCUACUUUUUCGUGGGGGAUAACGGAGGGCAACUUACGCUAAUACCUCAUACGACCUACGGCUUAAAUCAGGGGUUCUUCGGACUUUUCCCGUCUGUAUGAGCCGGUGUCGCAUUAGCUAGUUGGCGGGGUAAAGUCCCACCAAGGCAACGAUCCGUAGCUGGUCUGAGAGGGUGAUCGGCCACACUGGAACUGAGACACGGUCCAGACUCCUACGGGAGGCAGCAGUGGGGAAUAUUAGGCAAUGGGCGCAAGCCUGGUCCAGCCACGCCGCGUGGGUGAAGAAGGUCUUCGGAUUGUAAAGCCCUUUUGUUAGGGAAGAAAAGCAGUGUGAGAAAACGCCCAUGUUUUGACGGUACCCAAAGAAUAAGCACCGGCUAACUACGUG